rnacentral:rRNA from 1 species
UGGGGAAUUUUGGACAAUGGGCGAAAGCCUGAUCCAGCAAUGCCGCGUGUGUGAAGAAGGCCUUCGGGUUGUAAAGCACUUUUGUCCGGAAAGAAAUCCUUGGCUCUAAUACAGCCGGGGGGAUGACGGUACCGGAAGAAUAAGCACCGGCUAACUACGUGCCAGCAGCCGCGGUAAUACGUAGGGUGCAAGCGUUAAUCGGAAUUACUGGGCGUAAAGCGUGCGCAGGCGGUUUGCUAAGACCGAUGUGAAAUCCCCGGGCUCAACCUGGGAACUGCAUUGGUGACUGGCAGGCUAGAGUAUGGCAGAGGGGGGUUAGAAUUCCACGUGUAGCAGUGAAAUGCGUAGAGAUGUGGAGGAAUACCGAUGGCGAAGGCAGCCCCCUGGGGCCAAUACUGACGCUCAUGCACGAAAGCGUGGGGAGCAAACAGGAUU